GAGAGAGUUGUCCGCUGAUAAAAUCAGACGAGAUCGCGUCCUCGAUUCUCGCGAUCCACGAUCCACGAUCCACGAUUUCGUCCGAGCGACGUACUCUACGUGCAGCACAUUCAUGCCUGCAUACCGGCGUCGGCAGGGAAUAAUUAAGACUGAUCAUUCCGGCUUAAACUGCGCGUCCCUAACAACGAGAUGUGACGAGGCAUCCCGUACGUUAAGAGAACAAAGGUCAUCAGUUCUACAAGCUACGUUGCCCGGCUAAGACUUUGUAGAAGAAUUCAUCGUCAGAACUAGCGUUGGGUAAUUUGGAUGUGAUGUGGAUAUCACGGUGCAGGGAUCAUCGCCUUGUGCUCAUAUUUUUACUUUCGGAACAAAUGUAUGAGAGGCAAAAUGGGAGAUACAAUGGAUUCAAGUAUGUGGACGUGACGCAAUUCCAGACUAAAUUUGUCGAAAUAAUUAACAAGUUCACAGCUUCCUGCUUCGGCUGCGGAACUUCAAGUCCAACGAGCAAUUCGUACUCGAAGAAACGAGCCCACUCCUGCUCAUGACACAGAAUUCUAUACCAGGUGCACUAAUGGACUCACAACUCCAAGUUUAGUACAAGACCAACGGGCCAACGACCCAGCUCGCGUUAGCUUGGCUAUGGCGCAACCCAUGAUCUUUCCUUCGACCGAGACGUGCAUCGCCUGUCGUCAACAGGCAUCAACCGACAGCAACGGUAAUGACAGCGAGAACACGGAGAAGAGCAACUGAUCCUCUUGACCAGUCCCCCUGCAAGCUACGUU